rnacentral:sRNA from 1 species
GCAGGGCAUGGUGGCGGGUGCCUGUAAUCCCAGCUACUCAGGAAGCUGAGGCAGGAGAAUCGCUUGAACCUGGGAAGUGGAGGUUGCAGUGAGCCGAGAUCGUGCCACUGCACUCCACCCUGGGUGACAGGGCGAGACUCUGUCUCAA